rnacentral:ncRNA from 1 species
GGAGGGCGCUUACCACGGUAGGAUUCGUGACUGGGGUGAAGUCGUAACAAGGUAGCCGUAUCGGAAGGUGCGGCUGGAUCACCUCCUUU